rnacentral:rRNA from 1 species
UACGGGGGGAGCAAACGUUGUUCGGAAUCACUGGGCGUAAAGGGCGUGUAGGCGGCUGGAUAAGUGGGAUGUUAAAUCCCCCGGCUCAACCGGGGACCUGCAUCUCAUACUGUUCAGCUCGAGCACAUCAGAGGAGACUGGAAUUCCCGGUGUAGCGGUGAAAUGCGUAGAUAUCAGGAGGAACACCGAUGGCGAAGGCAGGUCUCUGGGCCACUACUGACGCUGAGAAGCGAAAGCAUGGGGAGCGAACAGG